rnacentral:lncRNA from 13 species
ACACAAACACACACACAGAAAAAACAUACUUAGAAUAAAGCAAUACGCCCUCUUGCCAGGAUAUAGUGACUCUGAUCAAAUGACACCCGUAUCCCUUAUAGUGACUCUGAUCAAAUGACACCCGUAUCCCUUAUAGUGACUCUGAUCAAAUUACACCCUUAUCCCUUAUAGUGACUCUGAUCAAAUUACACCCUUAUCCCUUAUAGUGACUCUGAUCAAAUUACACCCUUAUCCCUUAUAGUGACUCUGAUCAAAUUACACCCUUAUCCCUUAUAGUGACUCUGAUCAAAUUACACCCUUAUCCCUUAUAGUGACUCUGAUCAAAUUACACCCUUAUCCCUUAGAGUGACUCUGAUCAAAUUACACCCUUAUCCCUUAUAGUGACUCUGAUCAAAUUACACCCUUAUCCCUUAGAGUGACUCUAAUCAAAUAUAGUGCACUGCAUAGGGAAUAGGGUGUCACACUGCAUAGGGAAUAGGGUGUCACACUGCAUAGGGAAUAGGGUGCCACACUGCAUAGUGAAUAGGGUGUCACACUGCAUAGGGAGUCACAAUGCAUAGGGAAUAGGGUGUCACACAGAAUAGGGAAUAGGGUGUCACAUUGCAUAGGGAAUAGGGUGUCACACAGCAUAGGGAAUAGGGUGUCACACAGCAUAGGGGAUAGGGUGUCACACUGCCUAGGGAAUAGGGAGUCACACUGCAUAGGGAAAAGGGUGUCACACUGCAUAGGGAAUAGGGUGUCAUACUGCAUAGGGAAUAGGGAGUCACACUGCAUAUGGAAUAGGGUGUCAUACUGCAUAGGGAAUAGGGAGUCACACUGCAUAGGGAAUAGGGUGCCAUUAGAGACAAAGACUGAGACAGGCACUAGUCUAACUGUAUGUAGGGAACGGAGAAAGACAGCGAAUACACACACACACACACACACACACACACACACACUCAGCCUCAAUGCACAACUAGCUGCUGCACUCACACACACACACACACACACACACACAGCCUUGUACAACUAACCUCGUAGGGACACACAAUUCAGUCCAAUUCAAAAUCCUAUUUUCCCUAAGCCCCAACCCUACCCCAACCCUACCCUAACCCUACCCCAACCCUACCCUUAACCCAGAAAUAGCAUUUUACCUUGUGGGGACUAACAAAAUGUCCCCAGUUGGUCAAGUUUGUUGUCAGUUGACUAUUCUUGUGGAGACUUCUGGUACCCACACUUAUAGUUAAACACACACACACACACACACACACACACACACACACACAAUUAACCC